GUGGGGAAUCUUGCGCAAUGGGCGAAAGCCUGACGCAGCCAUGCCGCGUGAAUGAUGAAGGUCUUAGGAUUGUAAAAUUCUUUCACCGGGGACGAUAAUGACGGUACCCGGAGAAGAAGCCCCGGCUAACUUCGUGCCAGCAGCCGCGGUAAUACGAAGGGGGCUAGCGUUGCUCGGAAUUACUGGGCGUAAAGGGCGCGUAGGCGGACAGUUUAGUCAGAGGUGAAAGCCCAGGGCUCAACCUUGGAAUUGCCUUUGAUACUGGCUGUCUUGAGUACGGGAGAGGUGAGUGGAACUCCGAGUGUAGAGGUGGAAUUCGUAGAUAUUAGGAAGAACACCAGUGGCGAAGGCGGCUCACUGGUCCGGUACUGACGCUGAGGUGCGAAAGCGUGGGGAGCAAACAGGAUUAGAUACCCCGGUAGUCC
rnacentral:rRNA from 1 species